rnacentral:rRNA from 1 species
GUGCCAGCAGCCGCGGUAAUACGUAGGGUGCAAGCGUUGUCCGGAAUUACUGGGCGUAAAGAGUUCGUAGGCGGUUUGUCGCGUCGUUUGUGAAAACCAGCAGCUCAACUGCUGGCUUGCAGGCGAUACGGGCAGACUUGAGUACUGCAGGGGAGACUGGAAUUCCUGGUGUAGCGGUGAAAUGCGCAGAUAUCAGGAGGAACACCGGUGGCGAAGGCGGGUCUCUGGGCAGUAACUGACGCUGAGGAACGAAAGCGUGGGUAGCGAACAGGAUUAGAUACCCUGGUAGUCCACGCCGUAAACGGUGGGCGCUAGGUGUGGGUUCCUUCCACGGAAUCCGUGCCGUAGCUAACGCAUUAAGCGCCCCGCCUGGGGAGUACGGCCGCAAGGCUAAAACUUAAAGGAAUUGACGG